rnacentral:lncRNA from 1 species
GCGCGCGGCCGCGGGCGGCCACAACCGCCGGGCGAUGCUGCUCGCGUACGCGCAGCACCUGCGGCGGCGCGGCGGGCAGAGAUCGUAUUCGGGGCCGCCGCGCGUGCUGGAGUGGGGCGAAUGGAAGCGGGCAGACGAUCCCGGCGCCGGCGCCGGCAACGACGAUAAGGUGAGCGCGGCGGAUCAGCAAAACAUUUCUUAUUUCGUCGGAUCAUGCAUGCACGACGUGCAUCUAACGCGUGCUCAUGUCCUCGGUCGACCAGCAGGCGGUGGCGGGGCGGAGGAGGGGCUGCUGCUCCAGGCUCCGGCUGUGGGUGCGGCUUUGGAUCAGGACGUUCUUCCGUCGCGUCAGGAGGAUCAGGGAGAACGCGUCGUGCAGGAAAGCAGAUUGAACGUGUUGGUCAUGCAGGACGAUACGAGGAAGAUCAUUUGGUUGGUCAUCGGCGAAUUAGCGCCUGCAUCUGCAUCUGCAUGUGUCCUGGAAUUUUUCUGUGUGUGUUGAACUCGUAAGUGCAUCUCCACAUGAACGACAUGUAUACUACCAUAACAAAAAUGUAGAUUGGUAGGGUAGGCCAGUGCUUGCGUAACAUUUAAAAUUUAGGCAUGAGUUGAAGGUGCUUGCUCACGAAUUUUUAUGGCACUUCUGUCUCUCUUGAAAGAGCCG